GUCCUGGCCCUAAACGAUGAAUACUUGGUGUCUGGAGUAAAUAGUGCUCCGGGUGCCGUCGCUAACGUUUUUAGUAUUCCGCCUGGGGAGUACGCUCGCAAGAGUGAAACUCAAAGGAAUUGACGGGGACCCCGCACAAGCGGUGGAGCAUGUGGUUUAAUUCGACGCAACGCGAAGAACCUUACCUAGGCUAGAAUGUGAGGGAAGUCUGCGUAACAGCAGGCGUCUGAGAAAUCAGACCCAAAACAAGGUGCUGCAUGGCUGUCGU
rnacentral:rRNA from 1 species